UGGGGAAUAUUGGACAAUGGGCGAAAGCCUGAUCCAGCCAUGCCGCGGGUGUGAAGAAGGUCUUCGGAUUGUAAAGCACUUUAAGUCGGGAGGAAGGGCAGUAAGCGAAUACCUUGCUGUUUUGACGUUACCGACAGAAUAAGCACCGGCUAACUCUGUGCCAGCAGCCGCGGUAAUACAGAGGGUGCAAGCGUUAAUCGGAAUUACUGGGAGUAAAGCGCGCGUAGGUGGUUCGUUAAAUUGAAUGUGAAAGCCCCGGGCUCAACCUGGGGACUGCAUCCAAAACUGGCGAGCUAGAGUAGGGCAGAGGGUGGUGGAAUUUCCUGUGUAGCUGUGACAUGCGUAGCUAUAGGAAGGAACACCAGUUGCGAAGGCGACCACCUGGGAUCAUACUGACACUGAGGUGCGAAAGCGUGGGGAGCAAACAGG
rnacentral:rRNA from 1 species